AGAGUUUGAUCCUAGCUCAGGACGAACGCUGGCGGCGUGGAUAAGGCAUGCAAGUCGAAAGGGUUUAGACCCUUGGCGAACGAGUUAGUAAUACGUAGGUACAUCCCUCUGACUCGGGCACAACUCCGCGAAAGCGGAGAUAAUUCCCGAUGGUCUCGCAAGAGUAAAGGCUUUGAUGCAAAUCAAAGUCGGUGAGAGAGUGGCCUGCGCCCUAUCAGCUAGUUGGUGAGGUAAUGGCUCACCAAGGCUAUGACGGGUAGGGGGCGUGAGAGCGUGUUCCCCAACGAUGGCACUGAGAUACGGGCCCUACUCCUACGGGAGGCUGCAGUCGAGAAUCUUCCACAAUGGGCGAAAGCCUGAUGGAGCGACGCCGCGUGAAUGAAGAAGCCCUUCGGGGUGUAAAGUUCUUUUCUAUCCGAGGAAUUUUGACUUUAGGAUAGGAAUAAGGAGCUGCUAAACUCGUGCCAGCAGCAGCGGUAAUACGAGUGCUCCGAGCGUUGUCCGGAAUUACUGGGCGUAAAGAGUCUGUAGGGGGUUUGAUGCGUCUUUUGUUAAAUCUCAGUGCUCAACACUGGGGCUGCAAGGGAAACGGUCAAACUGGAGGAUGUGAGAGGUUGAUGGAACUCAUAGAGUAGGGGUGAAAUCCGUUGAUACUAUGAGGAACACCAAAGGCGAAGGCAUUCAACUGGCGCAUUCCUGACCCUGAGAGACGAGAGCGUGGGGAGCGAACGGGAUUAGAUACCCCGGUAGUCCACGCCCUAAACGAUGAGUACUGGUUGUCUGAAGUAUCGACCCUUCAGGUGACGAAGCUAACGCGUUAAGUACUCCGCCUGGGAAGUACGGUCGCAAGACUAAAACUCAAAGGAAUAGACGGGAGCUUGCACAAGCGGUGGAGCGUCUGGUUUAAUUCGACGACAAGCGAAGAACCUUACCAGGACUUGAAAUCCUAGUGAAACCCCGAUGAAAGUUGGGACUUCUACAAGGACACUAGGACAGGUGCUGCAUGGUUGUCGUCAGCUUGUGGCGUGAGUUGCUCCGUUAAGUCGGGUAACAAGCGCAACCCCCAUUUCGUGUUACAAGUAUCACGAGAGACUGCCAAGUUUUUCUUGGAGGAAGGUGGGGAUGACGCCAAAUCAGCAUGGCCCUCUGAUGUCCUGGCAACACAGGCGCUACAAUGGCCGGUACAAUGGGUCGCUAAGUCGCAAGAUGGAGCCAAUCCCAUUCAAAGCCGGUCCCAGUUCGGAUUGAGGUCUGCAAUUCGACCUCAUGAAGUCGGAAUCGCUAGUAAUCGCGGAUCAGCUACGCCGCGGUGAAUACGUUCUCAAGCUUUGUACUCACCGCCUGUCACGCCAGAGGAGCCGGGAGCACCCGACAUGUCCCGCAUUGCGGGACCCUAAGGUGAAUUCGGUGACUAGGGCGAAGUCAUAACAAGGCA
rnacentral:rRNA from 1 species